CCUGGAGGGUGGGGCGCGCACCCGGGCGACCAGGUGCUCGCCGGGAAACCGCGGGCGCAGACUCCGGCUCCGACUCGGGCUCCCUCCGGAACGGAGCAGGGUCGGGAAGACGAGCGGAGGGUCGCGGGCGCUGGCUUUUACUCUCGCACGGGAGGACGGCUUUCAGGAACUAUCCUGCCUCUUUGUCCUGGGACGUACACAUGCUGUCUCGGGGCCUGGCUAGCUGCAUGGGGCUUGGUCACGUGAGCUUGCGCAGCGCAGGUGCGCCCUCGCCUCUGCGGAGCUGCAGCUUUGGGCUGCGGGAUGCGAGCCCUUCAAAAAUAUGGAUGGGCUCCCCUUGCCGCCUUCAAGACACACGGCCUUGCUGCACGCCGCACUGCGCAGAGGCCGGGGAGCUAGGCUCAGCUGCACAACCCAGGGCUUCCUGCGAACACCUGCUGAGAGCACCUGCUUGCUGCAGACACCCGGCCUGGCCUAGCUGCAGCCGCUGGCCUAGAACUCACCCCGGGCUCCCCGCGAGGCUGCAAGCCGGAAGGACCUUCCACGAGCGCACGUAAAUCCGUGCGACUUCGUUUCCAAUCAAAUGAUUUAAGUAAAAAUUCCUCAUGGAUGUGCCCAGCCGUUUUCAUUCCUGAUGUUAAGUUGAUAACAAAGAAUAGCCUUCACAUCUGCCUAGCAUUUAUUGACAUUUGGGACCUGGUUAAUUGAGGGAAGAGAGUAUUGGUCUCACUGUCUAGCUGGCCUAGAACAUGAUAGGUAAGCCCAGGCAGCCCUUUACUUUAACAUCUUCCUGUGUAAGCUCCCCAGUGCCUGUCCAGAUGACUGGCUUCUCAGUGCGCCCACUCGUUGGUGUUAAUAAAAUGUUUGAAACGUUCCUUUGUGACCUUAUCAAGUUAGUCCUUAUUAUUGCACAGUUAUUCAGCACACACAAAAGUGUUCAAAAUCCAGAUUAUGUGCCAAAUAUGUGCGUCAUUCGAUCUUAGCUCUGUUGGUCUGGUGAUUGAGUGUUGCCCAAAGGUUAGUUUGUUGGAAGCUUGGUCCCUCUUUUAGUGCUGUUAAGAAAUGGGGUUUCAAUGAGGUUACUCCUGGGUCAAGGGUGCUUGCAGCCAAGCUUGACAGCCUGAGUUUGAUGUGGGACCCACAGGGUGAAAAGAGAAAACCAACCUGAGGGUUGUCAUCUGACCUCCACACGUGCACUUUGCCACUCACACUGACAUAAAUUUUAAAAAAUAUUUUAUUAAACAACUGAUAAACUGUA